AACAAAAACAUGGCCUUUUGAUUUUAAUUUAAGGUCUAGCCUGCCCACUGAUUAUUUAAAUGGCCGCGGUACUCUGACCGUGCAAAGGUAGCAUAAUAAUUAGUUUUUUAAUUGAAAGCUGGAAUGAAUGGUUGAACGAAAAAAAGACUGUCUCUGCUUAAUUUAAAUUAGAACUUUAUCUUUAAGUAAAAAAGCUUAAAUUAGUUUAAAAGACGAGAAGACCCUGUGGAGUUUUAUAGCCGUUUUUAUAUCCUUUUUUAAAGUAUUGUUUAUUAGGGUAUGAAAAUUUCUAUUUGGUUGGGGUGAUCAGAAAAUUGAAUGAACUUUUCUUUAAAGGUUUAACAUUAAUUAAUGGCUAGCUGAUCCAUACAUUUAUGAUUAAAAGAUUAAAUUACCCCAGGGAUAACAGCGUUAUUUUUCUCGAGAGUUCUAUCGAAAGAAAAGUUCG
rnacentral:rRNA from 1 species